rnacentral:rRNA from 1 species
UACGUAGGUGUCAAGCGUUGUCCGGAUUUAUUGGGCGUAAAGCGCCCGCAGGCGGCUUGCCAAGUUCGAUGUGAAAUCUCCCGGCUCAACUGGGAGGGUGCAUCGAAAACUGGCAGGCUUGAGGCAGGGAGAGGGAUGUGGAAUUCCAGGUGUAGUGGUGAAAUGCGUAGAUAUCUGGAGGAACACCGGUGGCGAAGGCGACAUCCUGGACCGGCAUUGACGCUGAGGCGCGAAAGCCAGGGGAGCAAACGGG